GAUGAACGCUGGCGGCGUGCUUAACACAUGCAAGUCGAACGAUGAAGCCCAGCUUGCUGGGUGGAUUAGUGGCGAACGGGUGAGUAACACGUGAGUAACCUGCCCUUAACUCUGGGAUAAGCCUGGGAAACUGGGUCUAAUACCGGAUAGGAGCGCCUACCGCAUGGUGGGUGUUGGAAAGAUUUAUCGGUUUUGGUUGGACUCGCGGCCUAUCAGCUUGUUGGUGAGGUAAUGGCUCACCAAGGCGACGACGGGUAGCCGGCCUGAGAGGGUGACCGGCCACACUGGGACUGAGACACGGCCCAGACUCCUACGGGAGGCAGCAGUGGGGAAUAUUGCACAAUGGGCGAAAGCCUGAUGCAGCGACGCCGCGUGAGGGAUGACGGCCUUCGGGUUGUAAACCUCUUUCAGUAGGGAAGAAGCGAAAGUGACGGUACCUGCAGAAGAAGCACCGGCUAACUACGUG
rnacentral:rRNA from 1 species